GACGGAGGAUGCAAGCGUUAUCCGGAAUUAUUGGGCGUAAAGCGUCCGCAGGUGGUUUUUCAAGUCUGCUUUCAAAGCGCGAGGCUCAACCUUGUAUAGGGAGUGGAAACUGAAAGACUAGAGUUCGGUAGGGGUAGAGGGAAUUCCAGGUGUAGCGGUGAAAUGCGUAGAUAUCUGGAAGAACACCAGUGGCGAAAGCGCUCUACUGGGCCUGAACUGACACUGAGGGACGAAAGCUAGGGGAGCGAAAGGG
rnacentral:rRNA from 1 species